GGGCCCCCGAAAAUCUAACGAUUUUUGGGGUGGUUUGCCGAGGGUGGCACAGGUUUGAAACCUUCUCCCCUCUCCCAAAAGUUCGGAACAUGGGUGAGACAGUUCGGUCCCUAUCCUCCGUGGGCGCAAGGGAAUUGAGGAGAUCUGCCCCUAGUACGAGAGGACCGGGGUGGACGGACCUCUGGUGACGCGGUUGUUAACCAAUAGCAUUGCCGCUUAGCUACGUCCGGAACGGAUAACCGCUGAAAGCAUCUAAGUGGGAAGCCGUCUCCAAGAUGAGUUCCCUUUUCGGUAAGGACCCUUGUAGACUACAAGGUUGAUAGGUUGCAGCUGUAAGUACAGUAAUGUAUUCAGGCGAGCAAUACUAAUAGUCCGAGCUCUUCAUUUU
rnacentral:rRNA from 1 species